rnacentral:tRNA from 1 species
CGGACAUAGUUUAUCGGUAGAACAUUAGCUUCCCAAGCUGAAUAGGUGGGUUCGACUCCCAUUGUCCG